rnacentral:lncRNA from 1 species
GAAUUCUUACAUAAGGACAAUGUGGUUUAACAUUAGAUUCACUUUGGAGGAAACUAUGUUAGUGACAUGAGAAAGUAAUUUUUAAAUCUCCAUUCAAAACAUUAAAAUUGAGAUUCUAAGAAACAAACCAAAAUUCUAGGUGCUGUACUAAUGGUCCCCUGACCCUGGAAACAUUAAUUAAUGGUGAGAAAGCACUGUAGUGAUUUUAACACACACACACACACACACAUACAGAGAGAGAGAGAGAGAGAGAUCCCUUUAAACCUAUGCAAGCAUUUAUUUGGCAGACCAAAUUACUUCCCAGGAUGAAUAAGUAGAAUUCACCAGAGGUAAAAAGAACAGACAAAAUGUGGGGAGAUUAGGAAAGACAUGGGAGAAGGAAAAGAAAACAUUCCAACAGGAAGACUAAGGAGAGAGAAAGGAGAUCAACAGGUGUUUGAGCAAAGCAUUUGUUAGUCAAAUGUUUCUCUUUUGGUAUCUCCUCAAAUAUAUUAGCCUGCUAUGCAUGUUGUAGCCUCCCCAGAUACCUGCAUAUACAUCCAAUAUGUUCAGAGGAAACCAGACCCUCCAAGAGUGACGUAUUCCUUGGAGGAACUGGAUUUUUCCUUAACUCCCAAGAUAACUUUACGGGAUGAGCAGUCUCAGUAGUAUUCCUAGAAACAAAAGAGGGAAGGGCUCACUGUCUGGUUUGCACAUCACUGAUCACUGGAAGAUUGAACAUUCCGCUUCAGAGGAAGAGCAAGAAGAAGAUUUUGUUAUUAUUAUUCUUUUGUAUGGCACCAUGAAUGAGAAUGAUGUUGUGCAGAGGAACCCCAUAUAUCUACUCAUAUGUAAAUCCCAUUGAUGUCAAUGGUGCAUAGGAGUGGAUAGGAAAAAGGGCCUACAGAGUAAAAGAGAAUGAGGCCUAAAAAAGAAAGAAAGAAAGAAAGAAAGAAAGAAAGAAAGAAAAAGAAAUCUAAUGCCAGGCUUUUUGGACAGAGUGAUGCAACAGGGAAUCCCAGAAAUACUGGAUUAGGAGCUACAAGCAAUAUGCUGGCAUUUGCUGCCUAGUCACUCUUCCUUGCAGCAGGAACAGGUAAACAAACUACAAGGAAGGUUGUGGCUUGUCUGUUCUUUCCUUUGCAUAUGUGUGCCUUAUUUUUUUCUGGUU